UGGGGAAUAUUGCACAAUGGGGGAAACCCUGAUGCAGCCAUGCCGCGUGUGUGAAGAAGGCCUUCGGGUUGUAAAGCACUUUCAGCUGUGAGGAAGGGUGAGUCGUUAAUAGCGGCUUAUCUUGACGUUAGCAGCAGAAGAAGCACCGGCUAACUCCGUGCCAGCAGCCGCGGUAAUACGGAGGGUGCGAGCGUUAAUCGGAAUUACUGGGCGUAAAGCGCAUGCAGGCGGUCUGUUAAGCAAGAUGUGAAAGCCCCGGGCUCAACCUGGGAAAGUCAUUUUGAACUGGCAGGCUAGAGUCUUGUAGAGGGGGGUAGAAUUUCAGGUGUAGCGGUGAAAUGCGUAGAGAUCUGAAGGAAUACCGGUGGCGAAGGCGGCCCCCUGGACAAAGACUGACGCUCAGAUGCGAAAGCGUGGGGAGCAAACAGG
rnacentral:rRNA from 1 species